rnacentral:rRNA from 1 species
GACGGAGGGUGCAAGCGUUGUUCGGAAUUACUGGGCGUAAAGCGCGUGUAGGCGGCUAGGUAAGUCGGAUGUGAAAGCCCCGAGCUCAACUCGGGAACUGCGUCCGAAACUGCUUAGCUCGAGUCUCGGAGAGGAAGGCAGAACUCCCAGUGUAGGGGUGAAAUCCGUAGAUACUGGGAAGAAUACCGGUAGCGAAGGCGGCCUUCUGGACGAUGACUGACGCUGAGACGCGAAAGCGUGGGGAGCAAACAGG